rnacentral:ncRNA from 1 species
AUUCGCUAGGGGAGCUUAAUGCUGAGAAUUCACCCUCAAAACUUGACCCGGUUAAUACCGGCGUAAGGAAGUCGAUUG